rnacentral:rRNA from 1 species
GUGGUCCUACGGGGGGCAGCAGUGGGGAAUAUUGCGCAAUGGGCGAAAGCCUGACGCAGCGACGCCGCGUGAGUGAAGAAGUAUUUCGGUAUGUAAAGCUCUAUCAGCAGGGAAGAAAAUGACAGUACCUGACUAAGAAGCCCCGGCUAACUACGUGCCAGCAGCCGCGGUAAUACGUAGGGGGCGAGCGUUAUCCGGAUUUACUGGGUGUAAAGGGAGCGUAGACGGCGUCGCAAGUCUGAAGUGAAAGCCCGGGGCUCAACCGCGGAACCGCUUUGGAAACUGCGAGGCUGGA